rnacentral:rRNA from 2 species
AGUCGAACGAACUCUGGUAUUGAUUGGUGCUUGCAUCAUGAUUUACAUUUGAGUGAGUGGCGAACUGGUGAGUAACACGUGGGAAACCUGCCCAGAAGCGGGGGAUAACACCUGGAAACAGAUGCUAAUACCGCAUAACAACUUGGACCGCAGGUCCGAGCUUGAAAGAUGGCUUCGGCUAUCACUUUUGGAUGGUCCCGCGGCGUAUUAGCUAGAUGGUGGGGUAACGGCUCACCAUGGCAAUGAUACGUAGCCGACCUGAGAGGGUAAUCGGCCACAUUGGGACUGAGACACGGCCCAAACUCCUACGGGAGGCAGCAGUAGGGAAUCUUCCACAAUGGACGAAAGUCUGAUGGAGCAACGCCGCGUGAGUGAAGAAGGGUUUCGGCUCGUAAAACUCUGUUGUUAAAGAAGAACAUAUCUGAGAGUAACUGUUCAGGUAUUGACGGUAUUUAACCAGAAAGCCACGGCUAACUACAUGCCAGCAGCCGCGGUAAUACUUAGGUGGCAAGCGUGUCCGGAUUAUGGGCGAAAGCAACCCCGGCGUUUUUAUUCUGAUGUGAAGCUUGAGCUCNCCGACAAUGCAUCAGAACUGGGAACUUGA